UACGGGAGGCAGCAGUAGGGAAUCUUUCACAAUGGGCGAAAGCCUGAUGGAGCAACGCCGCGUGCAGGAUGAAGGCCUUCGGGUUGUAAACUGCUUUUAUAAGCGAGAAAUAUGAUGGUAACUUAUGAAUAAGGAUCGGCUAACUACGUGCCAGCAGCCGCGGUAAU
rnacentral:rRNA from 1 species